rnacentral:rRNA from 1 species
GGUAUGACGCAGCCUGAUCCAGCAAUGCCGCGUGCAGGAAGAAGGCCUUCGGGUUGUAAACUGCUUUUGUCAGGGAAGAAAUCCUUUGGGUUAAUACCUCGAAGGGAUGACGGUACCUGAAGAAUAAGCACCGGCUAACUACGUGCCAGCAGCCGCGGUAAUACGUAGGGUGCGAGCGUUAAUCGGAAUUACUGGGCGUAAAGCGUGCGCAGGCGGCUUUGCAAGACAGAGGUGAAAUCCCCGGGCUCAACCUGGGAACUGCCUUUGUGACUGCAAGGCUAGAGUACGGCAGAGGGGGAUGGAAUUCCGCGUGUAGCAGUGAAAUGCGUAAAUAUGCGGAGGAACACCGAUGGCGAAGGCAAUCCCCUGGGCCUGUACUGACGCUCAUGCACGAAAGCGUGGGGAGCAAACAGGAUUAGAUACCCUGGUAGUCCACGCCCUAAACGAUGUCAACUGGUUGUUGGACGGCUUGCUGUUCAGUAACGAAGCUAACGCGUGAAGUUGACCGCCUGGGGAGUACGGCCGCAAGGUUGAAACUCAAUGAAAUUGGACGGA